ACUCUUGAAUAAUUGAAGCACAUAUAUUCAUACUCGUACAUAUGUAUAUGCGCGCGUAUAUAUAUAGCACUUGGGUGUAUCAUCCUAGUGGGCCAUGCGCCCCUCCAUCAUCAACAACAUCAUCAUCAUCAGCAACUUCCUCCUAUCCGAUCUGAUCUAAAGUGAAGUAAAGUGAAGUGAAGUCUGUGGCCCUGUCAGGUGCCAGACAGCCCCAGACACGUGAUGUGCCUUUGGUGGGGCAAAGCAAAGGACUGGCCUGCAUUGGAUUAUGCAAUCCCUAGCUGCUGCACAGUGGUGACAAGGUGCAAAAUGUGGGGCCCCACAAUUAUGCACCAUUCAAACGGCGACUUCCCCUCUGACCAAACAAAACUAUUCGGAACACACGCCAUUCUCACUGUUUCGUAAACACAAAUAAAUACGAGUCUAUGUAGAAACAAUUGGUUUGGUUUCCGUUUGGCAAUACUCUUCUGGGCGUAUCGUUUACGCCAUUCUGAGGUGCUUGAAUUAUUUUCGAAUGCCGUAGAACAGCGCACAUUUGUGUUAUCAUUCCUCGACCCAAUCGCUGAUAAAUUUUGCAUUUCUGAUAAAGCAAGUGGAAUGGAACACUCGCGAAAAAGAUUUUUGCUGUUAGGGAGUUAGGAGAAGGUACCCCACGGAAUUUUCUAUGGAAAACUGAUUAUCAAGCUAAUGAAGGGGAAGCCCUGAAUGCCAUAAUGAACCCUUUUAUUUGAUGAUGAAAAGGAAGUUCAGAAU